rnacentral:lncRNA from 1 species
GAAAAUUUAUUUCAAAACAGCAAUUUACAACCAUUUUCAUAUUGGAGAUAUGUUGAUGACAUCUGGGGAAUAUGGGAACAUGGUUUAGAUGAAUUAAAAAAAAUUUCACGAAAUGUCAAACAGUUUACAUCCGAGAAUUAAAACAGAAAUGCGUUACUCAACUGAAAAAAUUGAAUUCCUUGAUGUGUUUGUACACAUAGAAAACAGACAACUUAAAACAGAUCUUUAUACAAAAUCAACAGAUAAACACCAGUACUUACAUGUGUCGUCAAGCCAUCUCAACUCUGUAAAAAAUGCCAUACCAUAUGGUCUUGGUAUUCGUGUCAAAAGAAUU